GAUGAACGCUGGCGGCAGGCCUAAUACAUGCAAGUCGAGCGAACAGACGAUGAGCGUGCGCCUCUGACGUUAGCGACGGGCGGGUGGGUAACACGUGCAUAACCUACCUAUAUUACUUGGGGAACAUCGUGAGGCCGCAGCCAAUACCAGAGAAUAUGAUCAAUCGCAGGGAUCAACAGUUCAACACAGCCUUGCUGACUCAUUGAGAUGGAUCCGGGCCGCCUUAGCUAGUUGGUAAGGUAACGGCUUACCAAGGCAACGAUGCGUAGCCGACCUGAGAGGGUGAUCGGCCACACUGGAACUGAGACACGGUCCAGACUCCUACGGGAGGCAGCAGUGGGGAAUAUUCCGCAAUGGGCGAAAGCCUGACCGAGCCACGCCGCGUGAGUGAAGAAGGUCUUCGGAUCGUAAAGCUCUGUUAUUGGGGAAGAAAAGCUGUGUAAGUAACUAUGGACGUCUUGACGGUACCUAAUGAGAAAGCCCCGGCUAACUACGUG
rnacentral:rRNA from 1 species